rnacentral:tRNA from 1 species
GCCAACGUGGCAUAAUGGCUUGAGUGUUGCACUACGAUUCUGGAGAUCAGGGUUCGAUUCCCAGCUUAGCCA